rnacentral:rRNA from 1 species
GACGGUACUAUAUGAAUAAGCACCGGCUAACUCCGUGCCAGCAGCCGCGGUAAUACGGAGGGUGCAAGCGUUAUUCGGAAUCACUGGGUUUAAAGGGUGCGUAGGCGGUUUAAUAAGUCAGAUGUGAAAUCCCGGAGCUCAACUUCGGAACUGCAUUUGAUACUGUUGAACUUGAAUUAGGUAGAGGUGGGCGGAAUGUAUCAUGUAGCGGUGAAAUGCAUAGAU